rnacentral:rRNA from 1 species
CAAAUCCUGAGGGCCCGGAGCGAGCGCCGCAAGGCGCAUAAAGCUGGUGACGCCACGCUGCCGAGAAAAGCCUCUAAGGAGUGGAGUGGGUACCCGUACCGCAAACCGACACAGGUGGGCGAGGAGAAAAUCCUAAGGCCCAAGUGUGAUCCCCCGUUUAGGAACUCGGCAAAUUGGCCCCGUAACUUCGGAAGAAGGGGUGCUCUUGCUUGUCAUCCGGCUUGCCCGGAGAAGCGAACGAGAGUUGCAAUAAAGAGGCUCAGGCGACUGUUUACUAAAAACACAGGGCUCUGCGAAGUCGAAUACGACGUAUAGGGUCUGACGCCUGCCCGGUGCCGGAAGGUUAAAGAGAGGGGUUAGCCGCAAGGCGAGGCUCUGAACUGAAGCCCCGGUAAACGGCGGCCGUAACUAUAACGGUCCUAAGGUAGCGAAAUUCCUUGUCGGGUAAGUUCCGACCUGCACGAAUGGCGUAACGAUCUGAGCGCUGUCUCAACGGGGAGCACUGCGAAUUUGUGGUACCGGUGAAGACGCCGGUUGCCCGUCACAAGACGAAAAGACCCCGUGCACCUUUACUACAUCCUAGUAGUGAAUGCUGGCGCAGUAUGCGCAGGAUAGGUGGGAGGCUUUGAACUCAGGCUUUCGGGCUUGGGGGAGCCAACGGUGAGAUACCACCCUUACUGCUCCGGCGUUCUAACCUCGUUCUGUUAUCCAGAUCAGGGACACUGCUAGGUGGGUAGUUUGACUGGCGGUCGCCUCCUAAACUGUAACGGAGGCGCUCGAAGGUUCGCUCAGGCUGUUUGGAAAUCAGCCAUAGAGUGCAAAGGCAUAAGCGAGCUUGACUGCGAGACCUACAAGCCGAGCAGGUGGGAAACCAGGACUUAGUGAUCCGGUGGUUCCGCAUGGAAGGGCCAUCGCUCAACGGAUAAAAGGUACGCCGGGAUAACAGGCUGAUCUGAGCCAAGAGUCCACAUCGACGCUCAGGUUUGGCACCUCGAUGUCGGCUCAUCGCAUCCUGGAGCUGUAGCAGGUUCCAAGGGUCCGGCUGUUCGCCGGUUAAAGCGGUACGUGAGCUGGGUUUAGAACGUCGCGAGACAGUUCGGUCUCUAUCUGUGAUGGGCGCAGGAGAUUUGAGUGGGGCUGACCUUAGUACGAGAGGACCGGGUUGGACGAACCUCUAGUGUAUCGGUUGUCACGCCAGUGGCAGUGCCGAGUAGCUACGUUCGGAAGGGAGAAACGCUGAAGGCAUCUAGCGUGUAACCCUCCACGAGAUGAGAUCUCCCAGGGCAUAAGCCCUCUGAAGGCUCCUGGUAGACGACCAGGUUGAUAGGCCAGGUGUGGAAGCGCAGCGAUGCGUUAAGCUAACUGGUACUAAUUAGCCGUGAGGCUUGACCAA